CCCGGAUGUAAGAAUUGUCACAGAAGUCAUAGAAGUCAGAGAAGCCACGGAAGUCACAGACAGCUCUGAUAUUACAAACUGCUCGGGAGUCACAGUGGUGUUUGAAAACAAUGACUUAAUCAGGGCCAAGCAAGAGGAGAAGGAGCUUGAGAACUGAAUCAAACACUUCAGGCUUGUAUAGUUUUUCAGUUUUUCCCCUGAUUAGCAUUUCUUUCCCCAUUUUCACUCUCCUCUAAAUCACCUGUUCCCCUUCCAUACACUUUUACUCUCACUUAACACCCUGUACCCCAAGAAAAGCAAAGACUGGCUGAAUCUUAAUACCUCAUUUUAUUAAAUGUAAUUGGAGUACAAAUUAAAAA
rnacentral:lncRNA from 1 species